UAGCCAUGGUGAGGGUAAGAUCUUCGAAGAUCCUUCAACCUAUCCCAAGCUCCAUAUAAUGUCUCAUCCUCCUCUUGAGAGAAAUUAGCUAUCUUCCUCCUAGCUU
rfam:Beta vulgaris subsp. vulgaris Bvchr4_un.sca014.con0029.1, whole genome shotgun sequence.